rnacentral:rRNA from 1 species
AGCGAACGCUGGCGGCAGGCCUAACACAUGCAAGUCGAACGAACUCUUCGGAGUUAGUGGCGGACGGGUGAGUAACACGUGGGAACGUGCCUUUUGGUUCGGAAUAACUCAGGGAAACUUGGGCUAAUACCGAAUGUGCCCUUCGGGGGAAAGAUUUAUCGCCAUUAGAGCGGCCCGCGUCUGAUUAGCUAGUUGGUGAGGUAACGGCUCACCAAGGCGACGAUCAGUAGCUGGUCUGAGAGGAUGACCAGCCACACUGGGACUGAGACACGGCCCAGACUCCUACGGGAGGCAGCAGUGGGGAAUCUUGCGCAAUGGGCGAAAGCCUGACGCAGCCAUGCCGCGUGAAUGAUGAAGGUCUUAGGAUUGUAAAAUUCUUUCACCGGGGACGAUAAUGACGGUACCCGGAGAAGAAGCCCCGGCUAACUUCGUG